AACAUGCUCAGAUUCUGAAAACAGUGAAAAGAAAUAUAUUGCAAUUUUUUCCCCCCAGGUUGAACACCCACAGUUCCCUCAAUUGCUUCUCAUAAGACUUGUGCUCCAAACCCUUCUCCAGCUUCAUUGUCCUUCUCUGGUUUGGAAUGAUCAGCAAGCUGAAAGGCACACCAGGGCUUGUCUCACCACCAGACUAGGUGACAGGUGUCUGCAGAAGGAGUUUCAAGCCUGAAAGGUUUUCAAGAUCCCUGAAAUAUCAAACUGUUGCCCCUGUCAAAUGGGCUCCUGAGGAGUGAAGGCUUUUCAUUUUUCAUCCUAAAUCUAGAAGGAAUUAUUCAAUUUUAUAACCAGGUUUCCUCUGGCUGCUACUGAUGAUAGAAAUAAAA
rnacentral:lncRNA from 1 species